UACGGAGGAUGCAAGCGUUAUCCGGAAUGAUUGGGCGUAAAGCGCACGUAGGCGGGACGGUGCGUCGGUGCUGAAAGCGCCAGGCUUAACCUGGCGAGGCGUGCCGAUACGACCGACCUCGAGGCAGACAGAGGGUGGCGGAAUUCCGGGUGUAGUGGUGAAAUGCGUAGAGAUCCGGAGGAACGCCGGUGGCGAAAGCGGCCACCUGGGUCUGACCUGACGCUGAGGUGCGAAAGCGUGGGGAGCAAACCGG
rnacentral:rRNA from 1 species